GGGCGAUUGGUUUAGUGGUAUAAUACCCCCUUAGCAUCUCGAAUUCUAAUUCGAAUCUACUUGGGGGUGGUCCAGGGUUCGAUUCCCUGAUCGUCCA